AAAUCGGCAUUAAUGGCUAUUUAAUAUCCGGUUCAACAUGGACACGAUUGAUUUCAUUCAAGAUAGAGCACUUUGCCGACGGGAAAUCCAAUCAAGAAAACCCUGACCCUCAAGCAGCUACUGUAUUUGACCAGCUCACACCAGCCAGGCCUCCUCCAAAACUCAGAUAAAUAUUUGAGCCACCAAAACAAAACGAGAACAGAUCGGUCUGAAUCGUUAAGAACUGAAGCUAACAUCAUAGAGGUACAUCCUUCCAAGAAUCCAUCAAAACAACAUGCUGAACAACUUCAAGAACUCUCUUCAAAAGACCACACUUUCCUGAAAUAAAUAAAAGAU